UUUCUACUCCCUCCGUCCGAAAAUACUUGUCAUCAAAAUGGAUAAAAAGAGAUGUAUCUAAAACUAAAAUACGUCUAGAUACAUUUCCUUUUAUCCAUUUUGAUGACAAGUAUUUCCGGACGGAGGGAGUNCCGG
rnacentral:pre_miRNA from 1 species